GAACUGCUUUCGUUCCAAAAUUCUUAUCUUAGAUUUGCCUAGAUAUGAAUGUAUCUAGUCACGUUUUAGUAUUUUGAUACAUUCAUCUCUAAAAAACCUAAGACAAGAAUUUUGAGACGGAUAGUAUUAA
rnacentral:pre_miRNA from 1 species